GCGCAACCCUUGUCCUUAGUUACCAGCACGUUAUGGUGGGCACUCUAAGGAGAACUGCCGGUGGACAAACCGGAGGAAGGUGGGGAUGACGUCAAGUCAUCAUGGCCCUUACGGCCUGGGCUACACACGUGCUACAAUGGUCGGUACAAAGGGUUGCCAAGCCGCGAGGUGGAGCUAAUCCCAUAAAACCGAUCGUAGUCCGGAUCGCAGUCUGCAACUCGACUGCGUGAAGUCGGAAUCGCUAGUAAUCGUGAAUCAGAAUGUCACGGUGAAUACGUUCCCGGGCCUU
rnacentral:rRNA from 1 species